rnacentral:lncRNA from 1 species
CAGCUGAUGAGCUCAUCAGGGGCAUCUGUGCUUUCAGCCUGGGUGACAUGAUUCAGCACAGUUGGACAACACAGACCCUGGCUGGUUUCCUCCGCACACCAGGCCAGACGAAGAGGAGUCUCCCAGCAUUUUGCAAGCAGCAGACCAGGUUACAGACACCUCAAGGAUGGCACACUGUUUCCACACUAAAGAGGGGGCUGAGAGCCCUUCCCCAGGACUGGGGUAGCAGUGAGACCUUCCUACAGCAUCCUGCUGACCCCUUAGGUUGUCCUGCUCUGUGGAUUUUUAUGACUUCUGAAAUACGACCCCAUUCCUUUUGAACACUAUUCUGAAGAUUAUGUCCCUGGUUCACACACUUCCCCAGGGUUCUGCCCUCGCUGGAAGCAUUGUCACCUCCUGGCUUCCUCAAACACCGGCCUAGCCUCUGAGGAGACCUCUCCUCCCUUUUGGUGAUCACAUUCACUAAAUUCUCCCUCCUCUGAGCUGCCUCCUUCAUCCACUACAUUGACUACUUCUCCAAACUUCACUGAGAAGGUGACCCUUGCUUACUUACUAUUUAACCAUCUCGCCAGUAUUGUCUGGAGAGAUCUCGUCUAUGCCUUUUCUUGCUUUGCUGUCAGUGAAUUUGGGGCACCUAGUAUUAAUAACUAAUAAAACUUAACCCUGUCAA